GAAUUUUCUUUACCGAAAACGUUCUUUGCUGUGUCAAGCCAAAACAGGGCGGACUAGUCUAUGACUAGCUAGGGUGUUAUGAUAACAUUCGUGGCACUUGUUGUUCGUAAUGAAGGCAUUUACAUGAAUUUGAAUAGUUGAUUGCUAUUUGGUAACUCAGAAGCUAUUUGAUAGCCUUACAUGUUGGCUACAGCGCUUGAGCGAAGGACGUAAUGUAUGCUUAGAAUGGCAGCAUCAUGCUAAACUUCAAGCCAACAUUGAUCUACUGAUGUGGAGGAGGCUCUGCACUCCAAUGGAGAGCUGAUCCCUUGUAAGAUCUAUGGAAGGACCUUCUACACUACAGUCCUGGGAAGACAAACACACAGAUUUGUGUACAGAUUCAUGUUGCUUUCUCUGGUGAGCCACAGCUGUCUCACUGAUAUACACAUCCCCCAGGCUUCAUAAUUACACCCUUCCCUCUGCAGCAGAGUAAAACAUUGAUUAUGUUUUGAUAUGCUUACCAAACACUGGUGAGGUUAAGUAGCCAUGUUUACAGUAGCUAAAAAAAAAGGGAAGGCGGUGAUGAAAUAAUGACCACUAUCUGUGUUCUGGUGCCAAUUUCCACAGCAGUUGUCAUCAGAUGGAGGACAGAGUCAGCAGCAGCUGCUAGUCAUUGUGUUGCUGUAUUGCUGACUGAGUUAAGAAGAAACAUACCCCCCCCCAUCUGUCAGAAAGUACCAGCUAAGAAGAGGAAGGUGGUUGACUUUGGCAAGCAGAAGGCUGAGGGAACAGAGAUCUACAUGACCAAACCCAGAGCCUUCCAAGAAGCUGUCCAACUGGCGUAGGAAACACGAGGACUUCAUCGCCACCUCAGAGCUACCAAGGGCCUCACUCAGGUUAUGAAGGAGGAGGGGGGGGUUACCCCCUCCUCCACCCUCCUCCUAUGUACCAGGUAACACCACCCUUAUCUCCACCUCCACCCCCCCUCCUAUGACCCAGUGAUUGUGUUGUUCCAGAUUAAUUCCAGUGACUGUGUGAUUGUAUUGUUCCAGAUUCCAUCCGGUGACUGUGUGAUCAAAUAAAAUUGUAGUUGUCACAUGCGUUGUAAAAAACAGGUGUACAUUUACAGUGAAAUGCUUACUUACAGGCCAUUCUCAACACUGCAAAGAGAGAAAAAAGAAAUAAUAGAAAAAUAAUAUCACAAGGAAUAAAUACGCAAUGAGUAACGAUAACUUGGUUAUACACACGGGGUAACAGUACCGAGUAAAUGUGCUGGGGUACGAGGUAAUUGAGGUAGAUAUGUACAGUGCCUUCUGAAAGUAUUCAGACCCCUUGACUUAUUCCACAUUUUGUUACGUUACAGCCUUAUUCUAAAAUGUUUUUUUUUAUCCUCAGCAAUCUACACACAAUACCCCAUAAUGACAAAGUGAAAACAGGUUUGUAAAAUUUUUUGAAAAUGUAUGUCACGAACCUCGCUGAAGAGGGUGCCUCUUCCUGUUCAGGUGGGGCUCGGCGGUCGUCGUCACCGGCCUAUUAGCUGCCAUCAAUUCUUUUUCCGUUUGUGUUUGUUAUUGGUUAAUUGGGUACACCUGUUUUGUAUUAGGGUUUGUUUGUAGGGUAUUUAAGGGCACUAGGCCUGCUGGGUAUUUUGUGCGGGCUUGUUAAUUGUUACUCUGUGUUUGAUGGUGUAUUUGCUUUUCGUGUUCUUUAUUUAUCCGGUCUAUUUUGUCCUGUUGUUUUUGGACUGGCAACUUAUACGCCUUGUGUGUUGGCGUCAUCAUUUUGGUUGCACCGGUGAAUAAAUUUUGAUAAACGACAGAACCCUGCUCUCUGCGCCUGAUUCCACCCACCACUCAUAGUUAAUCGUAA
rnacentral:lncRNA from 1 species